GCCUCUCUGCUAGCAGCUCCAGGCCUUCGGGAGGACUCGCCGCCCUUGCCGCCUCCACUGCGAGCGGAGGGGACAUAGGUGGUGGGUAUGUCCGCCAUGACUAGGGCCGCCACGACAACGCAGGCGGCGGCCGUGAAGAUUGAACCGUGGACACCGCGCUCCAGGGCCUCGUCCGCGUGUUCGACUUCAGCCUUGACAGCUUCUUUCCUAGGUCUCCCGCUGCUGCCAUGGCAACCUCCGUCCGGGGCAGUGGGGAGAGGGGACACGCGGGAUUAGAGAUCCCCUUCCAGUUUCCCCCUCCUGUCGAUUUCAUGGGAAGGAUUUGCCGCAUUUAAUUUGGCGACGAUUUUGAUAUGGGGCUGUUGUCCCUGAUUCGUAUGUUCGAUUGUCUGCAAGUUGCUCCUUUUUCUCAUUGUUGUUGGUCCAGUUCUUCCACGUGUGUUUGCUUUGUUUGUGCGUUCAGUUAGCAGCGAUGGAUGUUCUUCGAGUUCAGGUCAGCUGUGGUCUGCUUCAUGGCGAGGUGCAUUGGUUCAAGCCCGGAGGUGUGGUACAACAACAGAGCCGACAGGGAAGCAUGCAUUUUGCUGGCGGGGGUCUCAUCAUGUUGCUAUCGUCACUAGAGAUGGCAAAAUGCACGCAACUUCGCCGGAUAUUGGUGCAACCGCCACUUGCUUCCCGUUUUCCAUAAACUGUUCUCAGCAUUCCAUGUCUGACAUUCAUGCUAUUCCGAGACAGAAAAAUGCACAAGAAGAUCAACAUUAGAGAGAGCUGAAGCCUGAAGUGUUUUAUUGAUUUGGAUAUUGCUAGGUGCUCCAAACACGAAGAUUUUCCUCUACGAGAGUGCAAAGUUGGACCCGUGACGAACUCAAGGAAAUCUGAGACAUAUAUCUAAUAUCCUUUGUGCAGUUGGUUUUCCAGAUUGAGAUUGUUUCAUGAAGCAACAACCGUGGUAUAAGAAACAAUUGUGGCAUGCCUAUUAUCCUUAAAUUGAAACUUUAUUUUAUAACCUGCUUAACCUAACCAACAACCUCUUAUUGUUUUUAUUCUGUACUAUAGCAUUGCAUUUUUAUAUACGAGGUUGCACACUACUGAACUACGAUAUUGUACAUCACUCUCCAGCACAUCACUCAGUGGAACUAGACAGGCUAUCUUCAGCUUACGAACAAGAAUUUUCUUUCCUUUUGGUUUCUACUAAGGAUUAGUUGAUAGAUUCAUAUCUAUACCUUCUGGUUUGUCUUCUCCCUUGCAUUUUAUGCAUUAUUGUUCUGUAUUCACAUUUUAUCGUCCUUACUUAAUUUUGAGAAAUCACACUAUAACUUAAUUACAAUUCAUGCUUUAGAAUUUCUUCUCUUACUCAACGGAGAAGAGUAGUAAGUAGUGUAUACAUAUAUAUUAAUUGCCAUCUAUAUUUACAAUUCAUUAGAAUGGUAAAUGCAUGUCUUGCACUUCUAAUAUUGCUCCUUAGCCCAGUAGUUCUGUAAUUAUCACCAUUUUAUUAGAAGAUUGAGAAAACAUGAUUUAUGUGACACAAUAACCUGGGGCCAUUGAUUCAUGUUGGAGAAUUCACAGGGAGCGGACUGGUGCUCUUGACGAGAUGAGAAAAUACGAGGAAAAUGAAUGGAGAUGAAAAGGAAAUAAAAAGGGAUAGCUGGGACCAGUUCAAACACCAAUAAUUUUGGUUUAAUUAUUCUUAGGGUACCUAUAGUCUUCAGAUGACUUGUUAUGGUUUAUGAAAAAUGAUCCUCUCGAAGCGCAACAAUGUGCAUGUAUUUUCCCUUGCAACCUAACAUGACAGAGCUAUCUGCGGUGGUCGGCAUGUAUUGUGCUCAGUUGAUUGCCGUCAUGCUCGAUAGUGCAUUCUCUGUUAAAGCUGAUGUAUGAAGAUCAAUUAGAUUAGCGAAACUGAAUCUUGUUUGGAUGCACGGGAAUACUGCAGUUCAGUUUUUUCCUGCAUCAACUAGCCAAAACAGCGUUUCAGGCAUUUGGCAAAAUAUGGUGACGAGGAUCAAUUGGUUCAGUGCUUAUUCAAAAACAGAUUCAAGAGGUUAUGCAAAUUAUUAGGGGUUAGCCUUCUGUUGGACGUGGAGACUGGAGAGAAAGCUAGCUGGUGUUGUCGCUGCAACCAAAUGCGUAUGGAAUAGGUUCUUAUUAGGGUAUUUUACGUAUACGAAGGCGAGUUACUUAAUGCAUCACCAUCGUUGAUAACGGAAUCUGGAACCUUGACAAAGAUUCACAGAAAGUACUUCAAUAUUUAUAAGGUGGCUAAUUUGCACGGGUGAAUGACCCCAUUCGCACUACUAGGAAAGCUUUUAAUGUUUGGAAAAUUAUGAAACAUAUUUUUCCGCUCUGAAGCAUGUGUACUUUUUCCGUGUACUUAUCCCACAAAUGAUCUGUACCAAUGAUAGCCUUGUUCAAUGCAGUUGGGGAAGGCAA